AAUUAUACCGUGAAACUGCGAAUGGCUCAUUAAAUCAGUUAUCGUUUAUUUGAUAGUACCUUACUACUUGGAUAACCGUGGUAAUUCUAGAGCUAAUACAUGCUGAAAACCCCAACUUCGGGAGGGGUGUAUAUAUUAGAUAAAAAACCAACGCCCUUCGGGGCUUCUUGGUGAUUCAUGAUAUCUUUACGGAUCGCAUGGCCUUGCGCCGGCGACGGUUCAUUCAAAUUUCUGCCCUAUCAACUUUCGAUGGUAAGGUAUUGGCUUACCAUGGUUUCAACGGGUAACGGGGAAUUAGGGUUCGAUUCCGGAGAGGGAGCCUGAGAAACGGCUACCACAUCCAAGGAAGGCAGCAGGCGCGCAAAUUACCCAAUCCCGACACGGGGAGGUAGUGACAAUAAAUACUGAUACAGGGCUCUUUUGGGUCUUGUAAUUGGAAUGAGUACAAUUUAAACCUCUUAACGAGGAACAAUUGGAGGGCAAGUCUGGUGCCAGCAGCCGCGGUAAUUCCAGCUCCAAUAGCGUAUAUUAAAGUUGUUGCAGUUAAAAAGCUCGUAGUUGAACCUUGGGUCUGGCUGGCAGGUCCGCCUCACCGCGUGUACUUGUCCGGCCGGGCCUUCCUUCUGGAGAACCUCAUGCCCUUCACUGGGCGUGUUGGGGACCAGGACUUUUACUUUGAAAAAAUUAGAGUGUUCAAAGCAGGCCUUUGCUCGAAUACGUUAGCAUGGAAUAAUAGAAUAGGACGUGCGGUCCUAUUUUGUUGGUUUCUAGGACCGCCGUAAUGAUUAAUAGGGACAGUCGGGGGCAUCAGUAUUCAAUUGUCAGAGGUGAAAUUCUUGGAUUUAUUGAAGACUAACUACUGCGAAAGCAUUUGCCAAGGAUGUUUUCAUUAAUCAGUGAACGAAAGUUAGGGGAUCGAAGACGAUCAGAUACCGUCGUAGUCUUAACCGUAAACUAUGCCGACUAGGGAUCGGGCGAUGUUCUUUUUCUGACUCGCUCGGCACCUUACGAGAAAUCAAAGUUUUU
rnacentral:rRNA from 1 species